CCAGGAAAAAAAAGUGGAUCCCUUUGUCAGCACAGUUUUAUUUACUUGUUCAAGACAGAAGUCAACCAAGUUUCAAUUUUUACAGAGUUAGCAAGAGAGUGGCACUAACAACAUCAAGGUCGCGUGGUUCAGUUCCUGCAGGGAUCAAACACAUUACACUUUACAUUACAAAUCCUGAUCAAGCCAAAGUAGCCCAGGAGAACGGAGCAGCGUUUGUGGGAGGAGCCGACCUUGUGCAGAGAAUCUUGGAAGAUAAUGUGGACUUCUACGUAGUGGUACUAGAUAUCAUCUCCAAACUACUGCCUCUGAAGAACAACCGACGCAAAGAAGUUCCCCAAGAACAAGAGAGGACGUGUCAUUAGAGCGAGCGAUCGUCAGCUGUCGGAGUGAAGAACUCGUACAGAAAGUCACAGUGAAAAAGGACGAUUAAAGACGCUUGUGAUUUUAUAUGUUAAUGUGUAUAAUUUAUUCAAUAAAGUAUGAAAAUAU